UGGAGGGGGGAGGGAAUGGCGGAUGGGAUCGCCAAGCGCGCGCGGCCGGCGUGGCUCCAGCAGUACGAGCUCCUGGGGAAGAUCGGGGAGGGCACUUACGGCCUCGUCUACCUGGCCAAGAGUAAGCUCGUGUCGAAUCGAGGCGUGAAGAUCGCGAUUAAGAAGUUUAAGCAGUCCAAGGAGGGCGAUGGCGUCUCCCCGACCGCGAUUAGGGAGAUUAUGCUGCUAAGGGAAUGUAUGCACGAGAAUGUCGUCAAACUCGUCGAUGUGCACAUCAAUCACGCGGAUAUGUCUUUGUAUUUGGCAUUUGAGUAUGCCGAGCACGAUCUUUAUGAAAUUAUUCGUCACCACCGUGAGAAGCUACUUUUCCAGAUCAAUCCCUACACCGUCAAGUCUUUGCUGUGGCAAAUUUUGAAUGGAAUCAAUUACCUUCAUAGUAACUGGAUUAUUCAUCGAGAUCUCAAACCAUCAAACAUAUUAGUUAUGGGAGUGUCGGGGGACGGUGACGAGCAAGGACUUGUCAAAAUUGGUGAUUUUGGACUCGCAAGAAUUUAUCAGGCGCCAUUGAAGCCUUUAUCUGACAAUGGGGUCGUUGUUACGAUAUGGUACAGGGCACCCGAGCUUCUUCUCGGAGCUAAACACUACACCUGUGCUGUCGAUAUGUGGGCAGUAGGAUGUAUUUUUGCGGAGCUUUUGACCUUGAAGCCUCUCUUCCAGGGUGCAGAGGAUAAAACAGGCCCAAAUCCGUUUCAGCUGGACCAACUUGACAAAAUUUUCAAAGUCUUAGGUCAUCCGACAACAGAAAGAUGGCCGAUGCUUUCCAAUUUGCCGCAUUGGUUAGCUAACCGUCAGCUAAUCCAGAGUCGAAAGUACGAUAAUCCUGGUUUGCACACCGUCGUCAAUCUCCAACCGAAGGGCCUAGCAUUCGACUUGCUAUCACGAAUGCUCGAGUAUGACCCAGUAAAGCGUAUAACUGCAGCACAAGCGCUGGAUCACGAAUAUUUCCGAAGCGAUCCCCUCCCUGGUCGAAAUGCACUUGUCUAUGGCCAACCCGGCGAGAAAGUUGUGCAGUACCCUGCGCGUCCCGUGGAUAGCUCCACGGAUUUCGAAGGCAGUGGCUCCAUCCAAAACACCCAGAUGAUGUCGACCUCCAACUCGCUCCCCGCGUCAGCAGCAUCAGCUGCCGCAGCUAGUGCGACUGCAAAUGCGGUUCGUCCCAUGCACCACCAGCAGAUGCCCUUGGUCGGAAUGCAGAGGCUACAAACUGCGAGCAUGGGAGCUUUCAACGUGGGCGCUCAGCCAGCCAUGGCCGGCCUCGCCGCGAAUAUGUUCGUCCAGAGAGGCCAGCAGCUCCAGCAGGUUGCUCAUCACCAACAACAGCAGCAGCAGCAGCAGCAGCAUCAACACCAUCAACACCAGCAACACCAGGGAAGGAGGAGAGACGCGAUGCAAAACCCGAAUUAUCAACCUCCCAUGAAGUCGCGACGAAUGUAGCCAAGCAAGCAGCAGCGCAUUCGUUUUUGUCCCAGAAAGAAUUUUCACCCGCUGGACAGACUUUUAUCCGCUGAAUAUCCAGAUUUAAAGAUUCGGGGGAUCUUUCCUGCCCUUCAGGGUGACGGCCGUGGCAGCCCGUCAUUCGGUUUGAAGAGGAGAAGGGCGCGUGUGCUGGUUCUUGGCGAGCACGAGCAAGCAGGCAGGCAAGCAAGCAAAAGCACGUCUUUUCCAGUGGAAGCAAGUACAGCACGCUUGCUUGCUUCGUUUUUCUUCUUUCCUUCUUCUUCUUGUGGGGUCUCUCCUAUCACCAAAAAAGAAAGCAAACCAGGAGAAGAGAUUAAAGAACCAUAAAAAAAAAGAAAGAAAACUCUUGAUCUUGA